rnacentral:lncRNA from 1 species
CGCCGCCCGAGCGCCCCGGGCCCUGGAGGCGGAGGCAGCAACCGCGGCAGGAGCAGCAGCAGCGGCCGCCGCGGGCACGGACUGAGCAGCAGCAGCCACCGCCGCCCCCAGAGCGCCGCGGCCCAGCCCCAGCCGCCCCAGCGGCCCCCUCUGGGAGCCGGCCUCGGCCAAGUCCAGCCCGGGGGCCAGUCCCGGGCCGGAGGAGCCGCCCUCCAGCCAUGGCGACCAAGGAAGAGUGGACUCAGACUGAACGCAACUCACAAGGUUAAAGCUGUCUCCAGUCUUAAUCACCCAAAAGCACAACACAGACACAAGAAAGACAGAAGCAUCAGCCCGGCCCAAGGCUUCUCUCAGGUAAGAAGGAGGACUGCCUACCAUUUUGCUUUUGCCAGUUGAUGCCUUUGAAACACACCUCACUUUCAGAUAAUCCAUCUGGCCAAAAAGUCACCUUUGCCACAAAAUGGGUAGGCUAGAAUGAGUUAUGGAGUGUGUGUGCAUUCUCCAAAUUGGGAAGUAGGGCCCUUUUCAUUGUAUAUACCUCAUCCUGCCUUUCUGAAAGCAGAAAUGCUGUGCAUGCUCACCAGGCCCUCCCCCUGCCACAAAAAUUAUCUGGCAGCAUCAUGCAGAAUAGUUUAAACUAAAGGAGACUAUACAGACAGAGAAACCAGGAGGUAGAGAAGGGAUGUGAUAGACUGAAAAAGUAACUAAAAAGCCAGUUUUCUAUUCUAUAUAUAAAAACCCAACAUACCCCUUCCAAAUAUGGAACUUACACAAAGGAAGGGAGUUUAUUGGGUUAAUGUCUCCACAUCCAGUGGGCCUCUCCAACUUUACAUCCUAUGAAUUUCUAUUUUUAAUAUCAUUUUUCCUCACAAUUUCACCCUUUGCCUAGAUUGAUUAUAUUUAUCUUUGGUAGGAUAACUUCACAAAUUAACCACUCAAGUUUUAUUUCUGUUUUCUGUGUCUCCUUCAGUUUAUAUUUGUCUCAUUUUGUGGUACACAGAACCUUACAGCUGUUACAUUAGGCUAUCCAGCUGCAAACCUAAUUCUGUGGUAUCACUUCAGCAGCAUGAAUCUACUGAGGAAAUUACCUUUGGGAGGAACCUGCUAAUAUAUAUAUACAUACAUAUAUAUAUAUAUAAUUAUGUUGUUGUUGUAGUUUUAAAAAUAUAGUUUAAAAUUCUGGCUCUUGUCCAAUUCAGAACUAAUACCAAGAACUUAAUUUCUGAUGUGAUCAUUUUCUUUAUCUUUUGUUAAUCAUGCCUAUCUUGUUAGGCACCUUCAUGCAAAUCACGAUUUUCUUUAAUGAGGAUCACUGGAGUAGGUAUGUGGUGCUGUUUUUUUGUUUUUAUUUUACCAGAGUAUUGAUCAUAGUUUCAUAAAUUUAGAAAUAGAGCUGGAAGGGAAAGGACCUUACAAGUCAUUUAAUCUAGCUCCUCCACUCUCCUUUUUUCCACUUUACAGAUGAGAAAACAGAUCCAAGAAAUUUAAGUGACUUGGUCAGCGUCUUACAAGUAAUAAGCAGCAGGACCAGGAUGAUGAUAGUUAGGAGUUUUAAAAACCUGUCACUGUACCAGCAAAUACUCAGUCUUCAAACUAUAAGGAAUAAAAACCUUUCAGAAUACA